rnacentral:rRNA from 1 species
CCUACGGGAGGCAGCAGUGGGGAAUUUUGGACAAUGGGGGCAAUCCUGAUCCAGCAAUGCCGCGUGUGUGAAGAAGGCCUUCGGGUUGUAAAGCACUUUUGUCCGGGAAGAAAUCGCACCUGAUAAUACCAGGUGUGGAUGACGGUACCGGAAGAAUAAGGACCGGCUAACUACGUGCCAGCAGCCGCGGUAAUACGUAGGGUCCAAGCGUUAAUCGGAAUUACUGGGCGUAAAGCGCGCGCAGGCGGUUGUGCAAGACCGAUGUGAAAUCCCCGGGCUUAACCUGGGAAUUGCAUUGGUGACUGCACGGCUAGAGUGUGUCAGAGGGGGGUAGAAUUCCACGUGUAGCAGUGAAAUGCGUAGAGAUGUGGAGGAAUACCGAUGGCGAAGGCAGCCCCCUGGGAUAACACUGACGCUCAUGCACGAAAGCGUGGGGAGCAAACAGGAUUAGAUACCCUGGUAGUCCACGCCCUAAACGAUGUCAACUAGUUGUUGGGGAUUCAUCUCCUUAGUAACGUAGCUAACGCGUGAAGUUGACCGCCUGGGGAGUACGGUCGCAAGAUUAAAACUCAAAUGAAUUGACGG